GAGGGUAUAGCUCAGUGGUAGAGCGCAUGCGUAGCAUGCAUGAGGUCCUGGGUUUGGCCCCCAGAACCUCU
rnacentral:tRNA from 1 species